rnacentral:lncRNA from 1 species
CUCAGGUCCUGCAGAUGGGCGGGAUGUGCUCGGAAAGGCCAAACGACGCAAUUAGAGCGGUUAAAAAUUAAUGGUGGUGGAGAUUAGGAGGAGACAGGAAAGGGAGAAAUACCUGCUCCAGAAAGAACCAGGUGUCCUUUAAGGCAAGAAGGAACUCGGUGUUUUAGCAGGGAGAGUCUGGAAUUCUGUUUGUUUUGAUUGACGUGGAAAUUAGAGACGGAACAGAUGGAGCGAGGGUACAGCAGGAUGAGCCGAGCCGAGGCUCUGACACUCUAAUGAGGGAUGAGGAGGCAGGAGCUGCUGAUUGGGUUCUUCUUUGGAGCCUAAUUUGUGUUUUAUUUGCCCUGAUGCUACUGCCAACAGCAACAGACUCCUAACCAGGCUGGCCCUGGACCCCUGGAAGUGCCCAAGCCACCAAACUCUUAAACAGAGUUUUUCUGAUGGGACCUCCGUGGGGAAGGUGAUGGGGCCUUGGAAAAGAAAACUAAAAUCAAGUUCUUACAAGGAAACUCCUGUCACUGUCCCAGCCUCAGCAGAAAGGUGGGAAUUUGCUGAGUGGUGAAAUACAGAAAUGUUGGUCCUGGCUUUGCUGCUACGUUUUCCAGGGGGAUUCACCCAGAGCUGGAUGAAUCAUGGAAUCAUUAAGGUUGGGAAAGACUUUUAAGAUCUCUGGAAUUGUUCAAGGUUGGAUGCCUUUGGAGCAACCUGGCAGAGCGGGAGCUGCCCUUGCCCAUGGCAGAGGGUGGAACUUGGA